ACUUUACAAUGCGGGAAACCGUGAUAAGGGGACACCGAGUGCUAGCAUCAUAUGCUAGCUGUCCAGGCGUGUAAACUACGCCUGUUAGCAAGGGCCGGGCAAGACCGGUGCCAGCCGCCGCGGUAAUACCGGCGGCUCGAGUGGUGGCCGCUAUUACUGGGCUUAAAGGGUCCGUAGCUUGAUAACUGGGUCCCUUGAGAAAUCCGCCAGCUUAACUGGCGGGCGUUCAGGGGAAACUUGUUUCUAGGGACCGGGAGAGGUGAGGGGUACUGCCGGGGUAGGAGUGAAAUCCUGUAAUCCCGGUGGGACCACCUAUGGCGAAGGCAUCUCACCAGAACGGUCCGACAGUGAGGGACG
rnacentral:rRNA from 1 species